rnacentral:misc_RNA from 1 species
CCCGUGUAGAGAGUUAAAGCAGUGCAAGCCGAUUGCAAUUUACAUGGAUCAAAACUUGGAAAUGCAAAUUUCAUCACAUUACAAACUGCAGAUAAUAUAAAUAAGUAGAUAUCAACAGCAAAGAAUUACAUAAUGAACUGAUACUAAUUUGCCUAUAGCCUAUAGCAUGUCAUCAAAGCUUAUAAAGCCUCUUGUGCACGGUGAGCACAGUAGCAAGCAUAUCCAUAAGUAGAUCUCUGUAUCCACACCUCUGCAUGUAUACGUGUUGUGUGUCUCUCACAAAGUAGAGGAAUUUCUGGAGCCAUGCAUCUUUUGAUCCUGUGAAUGAGGAGGUAGAGAUGGAGAUGACACUGCUGCAUGGUAAGAAGAUGAAGCAAGUUGGGCUAGCGCUGGAACAGCACCACCUGUAGAUUUCCAAGAGAUGCUACCGUUAGUAGUUUCAAACUAGUUCAAGCGAACAUGAUUCCAUCCAAACAAAAUAAAGGUUUUCACAAGGUCCAUAUAAUGACCUAGGUUUUGAUCAAAGACUGAAUGAUAUACUGAAUUGAAAGCAAAACAACCAACCUACUUACAAAAUUCCUACCCACAACAUGGACCAUGCGGUAAAACCAUAUAGGUUUGCAUGUGUUUAUUCAACCAAUGCACCAAUGCAGGCUGAUAAAACGAAUAGUCAUCCUUACUUCUUUUUUU